rnacentral:rRNA from 1 species
AGGGUGCAAGCGUUAAUCGGAAUUACUGGGCGUAAAGCGUGCGCAGGCGGUUCGGAAAGAAAGAUGUGAAAUCCCAGAGCUUAACUUUGGAACUGCAUUUUUAACUACCGAGCUAGAGUGUGUCAGAGGGAGGUGGAAUUCCGCGUGUAGCAGUGAAAUGCGUAGAUAUGCGGAGGAACACCGAUGGCGAAGGCAGCCUCCUGGGAUAACACUGACGCUCAUGCACGAAAGCGUGGGGAGCAAACAGGAUUAGAUACCCUGGUAGUCCACGCCCUAAACGAUGUCAACUAGCUGUUGGGGCCUUCGGGCCUUGGUAGCGCAGCUAACGCGUGAAGUUGACCGCCUGGGGAGUACGGUCGCAAGAUUAAAACUCAAAGGAAUUGACGG